AUAUUUUCACAGGGAGAAGAUUAUUAAUUUAUUCUGAACCACACACAUUCCAUCAUCAAACAUAAGAUAGAACUAUAAACAUGUUUAAAAUGGUUGUGGGCUUGCAAAAGUGAUUUAGCUAGUAGCGUGUGGUUGGUUUCUUUCUUGUGAUCGAGUUCUUUACAAUUACAACAUCAAACUCAGAGAGUGGCUGUGUGUCAGGGUCAGGUUCCUGGUCCAGGAUGAAUGGUCGGUCAGGUCGGCCACACUCACAUUAUGAUUCUGGGACAACAAGGGCACCAUGUCUCGGGUGCUAGUGUGUGCUACAUGUUCAAGAUAUUGUUCGGAUUUGUGGGGUCUUAUUCUGUUUGUUUUGCAUUAUUGUGAAAUUAUCAAGGCUGUAACACAAAGUUUGUGUGUAAUUGAC
rnacentral:lncRNA from 1 species